rnacentral:rRNA from 1 species
AUUGAACGCUGGCGGCAGGCUUAGCACAUGCAAGUCGAGCGGUAGCACAGGGGAGCUUGCUCCCUGGGUGACGAGCGGCGGACGGGUGAGUAAUGUCGGGGAAACUGCCUGAUGGAGGGGGAUAACUACUGGAAACGGUAGCUAAUACCGCAUAACGUCUCAAGACCAAAGAGGGUGACCUUCGGGCCUCUUGCCAUCAGAUGUGCCCAGAUGGGUUUGGCUAGUAGGUGGGGGAAUGGCUCACCGAGGCGACGAUCCCUAGCUGGUCUGAGAGGAUGACCAGCCCCACUGGACCUGAGACACGGUCAAGCCUCCUACGGGAGGCAGCGGUGGGGAUUUUUGCACAAUGGGCGAAAGCCUGAUGCAGCCAUGCCGCGUGUGUGAAGAAGGCCUUCGGGUUGUAAAGCCCUUUCAGCGAGGAGGAAGGUGGUGAGCUUAAUACGUUCCUCAAUUGCCGUUACUAGCAGAAGAAGCACCGGCUACCUCCGU